rnacentral:rRNA from 1 species
UACGUAGGGUGCAAGCGUUAAUCGGAAUUACUGGGCGUAAAGCGUGCGCAGGCGGUUAUGUAAGACAGGUGUGAAAUCCCAGGGCUCAACCUUGGAACUGCAUUUGUGACUGCAUAGCUAGAGUACGGUAGAGGGGGAUGGAAUUCCGCGUGUAGCAGUGAAAUGCGUAGAGAUGCGGAGGAACACCGAUGGCGAAGGCAGCCCCCUGGGCUAACACUGACGCUCAGGCACGAAAGCGUGGGGAGCAAACAGG